CGGCGUGCUGACUCAUGCAAGUCGAACGGUGAAGCUCCUGCUUGCUGGAGUGGAUCAGUGGCGAACGGGUGAGUAACCCGUGAGCGACCUGCCCCGAACUCUGGGAUAAGCGCUGGAAACGGCGUCUAAUACCGGAUACGCACCAGAGCGGCAUCGUUACUGGUGGGAAAGAUUUUUUGGUUCGGGAUGGGCUCGCGGCCUAUCAGCUUGUUGGUGAGGUAACGGCUCACCAAGGCGUCGACGGGUAGCCGGCCUGAGAGGGUGACCGGCCACACUGGGACUGAGACACGGCCCAGACUCCUACGGGAGGCAGCAAUGGGGAAUAUUGCACAAUGGGCGGAAGCCUGAUGCAGCAACGCCGCGUGAGGGACGACGGCCUUCGGGUUGUAAACCUCUUUUAGCAGGGAAGAAGCGAAAGUGACGGUACCUGCAGAAAAAGCGCCGGCUAACUACGUGCCAUCAGCCGCGGUAAUACGUAGGGCGCAAGCGUUAUCCGGAAUUAUUGGGCGUAAAGAGCUCGUAGGCGGUUUGUCCCGUCUGCUGUGAAAACCCGAGGCUCAACCUCGGGCCUGCAGUGGGUACGGGCAGACUAGACUGCGGGAGGGGAGAUUGGAAUUCCUGGAGUAACGGUGGAAUGCACAAAUAUCAUGAGGAACACCGAUGGCGAACGCCGAUCUCUGGGGCGUAACUGACGCUGAGGAGCGACAGGGUGGGGAGCAAACAGGCUUAGAUACCCUGAUAGGCCACCCCGUAAACGCUGGCAACUAGUUGUGGGGAGCCUUUUCACGGUCUUCAGUGACUCACCUAACGAAUUAAUUCCCCGCCUGGGGAGUCCGGCCGCAACGGCUAUAUACUCAAAGGAAUUCACGGGCACCCA
rnacentral:rRNA from 1 species